rnacentral:ncRNA from 1 species
ACUACCGGACUCGAGAGACCCACCCGCAGGUGUGGUCGGUGCGUCUGUCCGGGUGGGCGUGCAAGCCGCCCGACCUCGUCCCGUUCCCUCGCGGAACAGGGUGUGCUAGCGCGCGGCUGCGGAAGCUGGACGCACGACGGCCACCAUCCCCGAGGGGAGCUCG